rnacentral:rRNA from 1 species
GUAGGGAAUAUUGGUCAAUGGACGAAAGUCUGAACCAGCCAUUCCGCGUGCAGGAAGAAGAUUCUAUGGAUUGUAAACUGCUUUUAGCAGAGAAGAAACGCCUUCAUUGAUGAGGGUUUGACGGUAUCUGCGGAAUAAGCACCGGCUAACUCCGUGCCAGCAGCCGCGGUAAUACGGGGGGUGCAAGCGUUAUCCGGAAUCACUGGGUUUAAAGGGUGCGUAGGCGGGAAAUUAAGUCAGUGGUGAAAGUCUGUUGCUUAACGAUAGAAUUGCCGUUGAUACUGAUUUGCUUGAAUUGGGUUGAGGUUAGCGGAAUGUGACAUGUAGCGGUGAAAUGCAUAGAUAUGUCAUGGAACACCAAUUGCGAAGGCAGCUAGCUGGGCCUUGAUUGACGCUGAGGCACGAAAGCGUGGGUAGCGAACAGGAUUAGAUACCCUUGUAGUCC